rnacentral:rRNA from 1 species
UCAGCCACACUGGAACUGAGACACGGUCCAGACUCCUACGGGAGGCAGCAGUGGGGAAUAUUGCACAAUGGGCGCAAGCCUGAUGCAGCCAUGCCGCGUGUGUGAAGAAGGCCUUCGGGUUGUAAAGCACUUUCAGUAGGGAGGAAGGUGGUAGUGUUAAUAGCGCUAUCAUUUGACGUUACCUACAGAAGAAGCACCGGCUAACUCCGUGCCAGCAGCCGCGGUAAUACGGAGGGUGCGAGCGUUAAUCGGAAUUACUGGGCGUAAAGCGCAUGCAGGUGGUUUGUUAAGUCAGAUGUGAAAGCCCCGGGCUCAACCUGGGAAUUGCAUUUGAAACUGGCAAACUAGAGUACUGUAGAGGGGGGUAGAAUUUCAGGUGUAGCGGUGAAAUGCGUAGAGAUCUGAAGGAAUACCGGUGGCGAAGGCGGCCCCCUGGACAGAUACUGACACUCAGAUGCGAAAGCGUGGGGAGCAAACAGGAUUAGAUACCCUGGUAGUCCACGCCGUAAACGAUGUCUACUUGGAGGUUGUGGCCUUGAGCCGUGGCUUUCGGAGCUAACGCGUUAAGUAGACCGCCUGGGGAGUACGGUCGCAAGAUUAAAACUCAAAUGAAUUGACGGGGGCCCGCACAAGCGGUGGAGCAUGUGGUUUAAUUCGAUGCAACGCGAAGAACCUUACCUACUCU